UUUCAUCUUUCUCGUAUCUAUAUUCCUUCUGUCUCUAUUCUCUCUCUCUCUUUCUCUAGGUUUUUAUAAUAAAUUUGCCUCCAUCAUAAACAUACUACCACGAGGAUCUUUUCAGCAUCAUCACCUCACGUCGUGGCCACUAUCGUUGUACCCAUCACCGGUGACGCUAGAAGUGGCGUCGAUGAGACCGGAUGAGGCGCCUCCUUAUGUCGCCUUUCACUCGAUUCUAGGGCUACGAAUACACAGAUACACAAUAGCAAAAACAAAAAGAAACACUUCUGCUCUUCGUGUUCUUCUUUCUUCUUUUUUAGACCAAGACCUACAAGUCAAUUAUUGGCAAAAUGAGUACUCUUUAAGAUCCAUCAGAUUGACCGACUUAAUACGGAUAGCCUAAAUGAUUAUAAUGAUGAAAGAUGAAGAAUGCACAUAGACAACAACUUGGAACGAGUCGAAAUUUAUUUAUAUUAAGACAUUAUAAUUUUUCAUUUGUGAUUAUAAUUGUAUUCAUAUAUGAUUGUAAAUGUGUUUUGUUUAUUUAUUUAUUCCAAAGUUGAUGUUUGAUUUUUUAAAUUUUA